UCGACCCUCAACCGAGGGUGUCGGACAUCGCGACCCGUUUGCCGUCGAUGCUCAGGUACGCGACGAAGUUCGUAUGCGUCGUCAUUUCGGUGGCGACGCGGCGAUCUCGCGUCACCAAUGCGUCGACGCAGACGGUAGCUUUGCGCGUGGGUAACCGGCGCGGUCCUCGCUCGCGCUCUCGUAGUGCGGGCGGUACUCGCGCCGACACCGGUCAGCGAUGAAUUUUCAGGUCUCUUUCCGACCCGUCUUGAAACACGGACCAAGGAGUCUAGCGUGCGCGCGAGUCGCGGGGUAUUCGAAGUGUCGUAGCCGUUCCGCGGUGAAUGCAUUUCGUAAUGAUACGAAACCCGUAUACGUGCAUUGUGCGAAGGCGUAAUGAAAGUGAAAGGCGGCGCCUCGUGCGCCGCCGGGGGAAGAUGAUGUUCUGUGUACACGUUUCGCGGUCACGCAUGUAUCGCGACCAGACAUCCGCAUUCCCAGGGCGUCCUAUCCGUUCGCCUGUGAUCGGGGCUCGCUUCGGUCGCAGGUGAAUUGGGGCGCA
rnacentral:rRNA from 1 species